rnacentral:ncRNA from 1 species
GGUCCUGAAUAAGACGUAAAAGUGUUCAAAAUAUCAUAAAAGUAAGUGAAGCAACCACGUAUAAAAGCGUA